GCCUCUGUUUAAAGGAAGAUAAGUUGUCAACAGAGGGAUCAAUUAGUUCUCUCCUUACACAAAAUCUUGACUUUAGUGCACUCAGAGCUGGCAAACAAUGAAUUGGAUUGUUGAGGAAUUUUGGAUCUAGAGGACAGUAUUACCCCCCACACUCUGCAUUUAGAAACCUGACCUCCAAAAAGGGGGAAGAUUAGAUAAAUAUCUUUAGUCAUAAAUUAUCAAACACCUAAAUUCUAUUGCUCAUUCUAACCAUCCCUUCUGUCUCUACCUUCCUAAAGAGGGAAAUGAGAAACCAAUCCACUGAUGCAAUUUUUAAAAAGACACUUGUGACAUGUCUCAUUUCAUUUGCCAGCUUAAGUAUUACAUACCCAGCACAGCAAGUUCCUCCGUUCCUGUGUAAUAGUAGUUGUUUCCUGCAUCUUCUAUGAUGCUUGAACUGCUUCAUCCAGAAGUGAAAAAUAUACUCACCAGAAUAAAGAUGAAAUGCCAAGCCAAUGAUGAAAAUAAUGUUGAUCCGUGAUGAGAAGGACAUGAUGUUAUCAAGUCUGUGGAAGGCACCUUUAGGAGUAUCUGUAACAGUUGUGCAUGUCACUUUAGAUAGAAUCUUAAGCCAAUUUCUGCUAAAGACAUUGCUCCCACCUAGAUGACUGUUCCUUUUGCUUUCCCACAACCCUAUGAUUCAAUAAAACGUGGUGUCAUUGUUGGAAGGCUUACCCAGAGACGUUUAAGAGAGCCCAGGAAAAUAACACUGUUGACAAAAUGGAAAGAACUGAUUACUCUCUCUGCUUUUCUGUCAGCCAGCCUGGUUGCCUGUAGUACCAACGCACAUUUGGGUCUCAGUUAUUUUCCUCAGGAAAUAGAAACAGUUAUUUCUGGAAAGACUAGCCUGGAGCAGUCCUCCUGGGAGUGGUGCAUGCCAGGAUACCCACACCUUCCUAGAUUCCCCACCUGACCUACCUGGCAGCGAGAUAAUGGGGAGUGAUGUCAGCGGCUCUGGAGACUGUGGCUGUCUUGCUCACCUGGCCUCCUCAGCCAUCUCCUUCCAGCUCAGUCUCUUUUAUUGUUCCGCUGG
rnacentral:lncRNA from 1 species